GCCUCGGUAGUCUAAUUGGCUAGGACACUUGCGCAUAAACCAAGCGAUCCGGGUUCGAUUCCCGACCGAGGUA
rnacentral:tRNA from 1 species